CCAUAGGGAAGAAGAAUCAAGAAGGGAGGAAGUACUAGACAAUGUCUAUAAAAAUAAAAUAAAAAAAGAGGAAGGACAUGCAUUUGCACAUUUGCUCCAGGUUUGUUGAACAGGAAACAUCUGAGCUGGAAUUCCCAGCAAAAUACCAUGAAGAUCUUGUGGCUAAUAUUUCCUGUCUUUUUAUGGAUAUUCCUGUCUGCUACAGAACUCUAUGCCAUAAAUUCCUUCUAUCACUGCUUUGGAUCUGGACAUAUUUGUAUUGACCGUGAGAGCUGUACUUUCCCUGAUACCAUCAUUGGAACAUGCAACUACUCUGUGAUUUGCUGCAAAAGCCCAGACUAGAAAACAGAGCUCCAGCUCCCACCUAUUACCAUG